rnacentral:rRNA from 1 species
GACGAACGCUGGCGGCGUGCCUAAUACAUGCAAGUCGAACGAAGCUGUUUUAACUGGUGCUUGCACCGACUUAAACAACUGAGUGGCGAACGGGUGAGUAACACGUGGGUAACCUGCCCCAAAGCGGGGGAUAACAUUUGGAAACAGAUGCUAAUACCGCAUAACCACAGAAACCACAUGGUUUCUGUGUCAAAGAUGGUUUCGGCUAUCACUUUGGGAUGGACCCGCGGCGUAUUAGCUAGUUGGUAAGGUAAUGGCUUACCAAGGCAAUGAUACUUGGCCGAACUGUGAGGUUGAUCGGCCAAAUUGGGACUGAGACACGGCCCAAACUCCUACGGGAGGCAGCAGUAGGGAAUCUUCCACAAUGGACGAAAGUCUGAUGGAGCAACGCCGCGUGAGUGAAGAAGGUUUUCGGAUCGUAAAACUCUGUUGUCAGAGAAGAACGUGUGCGAGAGUAACUGCUCGUGCAGUGACGGUAUCUGGCCAGAAAGCCACGGCUAACUACGUGCCAGCCGCCGCCGUAA